rnacentral:rRNA from 1 species
GACGAACGCUGGCGGCGUGCUUAACACAUGCAAGUCGAACGGAAAGGCCCUGCUUUUGUGGGGUGCUCGAGUGGCGAACGGGUGAGUAACACGUGAGUAACCUGCCCUUGACUUUGGGAUAACUUCAGGAAACUGGGGCUAAUACCGGAUAGGAGCUCCUGCUGCAUGGUGGGGGUUGGAAAGGUUCGGCGGUUGGGGAUGGACUCGCGGCUUAUCAGCUUGUUGGUGGGGUAGUGGCUUACCAAGGCUUUGACGGGUAGCCGGCCUGAGAGGGUGACCGGCCACAUUGGGACUGGAGUUCCGCCCAGACUCCUACGGGAGGCAGCAGGGGGGAAUAUUGCACAAUGGGCGGAAGCCUGAUGCAGCAACGCCGCGGGCGGGAUGACGGCCUUCGGGUUGUAAACCGCUUUCGCCUGUGACGAAGCGUGAGUGACGGUAAUGGGUAAAGAAGCACCGGCUAACUACGUG